AGAGUUUGAUCAUGGCUCAGGACGAACCCUGUCGGCGCGCCUAACACAUGCAAGUCGAACGGAGCUUAGAGCGCUUGCUUUUUAAGCUUAGUGGCGCACGGGUGAGUAAUGUAUAGCUAAUGUGCCCCUUAGAGGGGGAUAACAGUUGGAAACGACUGCUAAUACCCCAUACUCCUUCUUCCUAUAAGGGAAGUUGGGAAAGUUUUUUCGCUAAGGGAUCGGGCUAUAUGGUAUCAGCUUGUUGGUGAGGUAAUGGCUCACCAAGGCUACGACGCCUAUCUGGUCUGAGAGGAUGAUCAGACACACUGGAACUGAGACACGGUCCAGACUCCUACGGGAGGCAGCAGUGGGGAAUAUUACACAAUGGAGGAAACUCUGAUGUAGCAACGCCGCGUGGAGGAUGACACAUUUCGGUGCGUAAACUCCUUUUAUAUGGGAAGAUAAUGACGGUACCAUAUGAAUAAGCACCGGCUAACUCCGUGCCAGCAGCCGCGGUAAUACGGAGGGUGCAAGCGUUACUCGGAAUCACUGGGCGUAAAGCGCGCGCAGGCGGUCUUUUAAGUUGGAUGUGAAAUCCUAUGGCUCAACCAUAGAACUGCAUCCAAAACUGAAAGACUAGAGUCCGGGAGGGGAAGAUGGAAUUAGUGGUGUAGGGGUAAAAUCCGUAGAGAUCACUAGGAAUACCAAAAGCGAAGGCGAUCUUCUGGAACAGUACUGACGCUGAAGCGCGAAAGCGUGGGGAGCAAACAGGAUUAGAUACCCUGGUAGUCCACGCCCUAAACUAUGAAUGUUAGUCGUCGGGGGGCUUGUCUUCUCGGUGAUGCAGCUAACGCAUUAAACAUUCCGCCUGGGGAGUACGGUCGCAAGAUUAAAACUCAAAGGAAUAGACGGGGACCCGCACAAGUGGUGGAGCAUGUGGUUUAAUUCGAAGAUACGCGAAGAACCUUACCUGGCCUUGACAUUGAUAGAAUCUGCUAGAGAUAGCGGAGUGCCCUUCGGGGAGCUUGAAAACAGGUGCUGCACGGCUGUCGUCAGCUCGUGUCGUGAGAUGUUGGGUUAAGUCCCGCAACUAGCGCAACCCUCGUCACUAGUUACUAACGGUUCGGCCGAGGACUCUAGUGAGACUGCCUUCGUAAGGAGGAGGAAGGCGAGGACGACGUCAAGUCAUCAUGGCCCUUACGGCCAGGGCGACACACGUGCUACAAUGGGAUGUACAAUGGGACGCAAUACCGCGAGGUGGAACAAAUCUAUAAAACAUCUCUCAGUUCGGAUUGUAGUCUGCAACUCGACUACAUGAGGCUGGAAUCACUAGUAAUCGUAGAUCAGCAUGCUGCGGUGAAUACGUUCCCGGGUCUUGUACACACCGCCCGUCACACCAUGGGAGUGGGUUUCACCAGAAGUAGGUAGCUUAACCUUCGGGAGGGCGCUUACCACGGUGAGAUUCAUGACUGGGGUGAAGUCGUAACAAGGUAGCCGUAUCGGAAGGUGUGGCUGGAUCACCUCC
rnacentral:rRNA from 1 species